CCUACGGGGUGCUGCAGUGGGGAAUAUUGCACAAUGGGGGAAACCCUGAUGCAGCGACGCCGCGUGAGUGAAGAAGUAAUUCGUUAUGUAAAGCUCUAUCAGCAGGGAAGAAAAUGACGGUACCUGAGUAAGAAGCCCCGGCUAACUACGUGCCAGCAGCCGCGGUAAUACGUAGGGGGCAAGCGUUAUCCGGAUUUACUGGGUGGAAAGGGAGCGUAGACGGCAGUGCAAGUCUGGAGUGAAAGGCGGGGGCUCAACCCCCGGACUGCUCUGGAAACUGUACGGCUGGAGUGCAGGAGAGGUAAGUGGAAUUCCUAGUGUAGCGGUGAAAUGCGUAGAUAUUAGGAGGAACACCAGUGGCGAAGGCGGCUUACUGGACUGUAACUGACGUUGAGGCUCGAAAGCGUGGGGAGCAAACAGGAUUAGAUACCCCUGUAGUC
rnacentral:rRNA from 1 species